rnacentral:rRNA from 1 species
UCCAUGGACCAUAGCAGCCUGAAGGCACCUCAUCCCGGAAGCUAAGCAGGGUUUGGCUUAACGGAGACUUGCAUGGGAGAACAACUGGGGGGACCAGGCCUGGAG